rnacentral:rRNA from 1 species
UACGGAGGGGGCAAGCGUUAUUCGGAUUUACUGGGCGUAAAGAGCGCGCAGGCGGUCGUUCAAGUCGAGUGUGAAAGCCCCCGGCUCAACUGGGGAGGGUCACUCGAUACUGAUCGACUUGAAGGCAGGAGAGGGAAGCGGAAUUCCCGGUGUAGUGGUGAAAUGCGUAGAUAUCAGGAAGAACACCGGUGGCGAAGGCGGCUCGCUGGGCCAGUUCUGACACUCAUCCGCGAAAGCGUGGGGAGCAAACAGG